rnacentral:rRNA from 1 species
UACGUAGGGGGCAAGCGUUAUCCGGAUUUACUGGGCGUAAAGCGCGUUAAGGCGGCCGGCAAAGUUGAGGGUGAAAUCUCUGGGCUCAACCCAGAAACUGCCUCCAAUACUGGUCGGCUCGAGUACGAGAGAGGAAGGUGGAAUUCCCGGUGUAGUAGUGAAAUGCGUAGAUAUCGGGAGGAACACCAGUGGCGAAGGCGGCCUUCUGGCUCGUAACUGACGCUGUAGCGCGAAAGCGUGGGGAGCGAACGGG